GCAGUGGUGGUUCAGUGGUAGGAUUCCCGCCCUCCAUGCUGGAGACCCAGGUUCAAUUCCUGGCCCAGGCA
rnacentral:tRNA from 1 species